ACAUACAUUCACCCUUACAUUCAACCAUGGAAAGAAUAAAAAAUAUAAACAACCAAAAAAUAUGCAAACCACACUUCAUAUCUCAUUCUUCAAACAAAAAAAAUUUAAAACACUAUUAUUUCUCCACCGCAAAACCGAGCUACAAGCUUCACUCAAUAUCACCUUCGUCGUUCCAGAUCCAAACACCGCCACUGCCACAACGUCUGACCAUCUUUGUACAAAC
rnacentral:lncRNA from 1 species